rnacentral:lncRNA from 1 species
GAAAACCCUCCAGCCCGGUUCAAGAAUAAGCCUGUGGAAAGUUACUUCUUCAAAAGCAAAAGUAUCUCAUAUCAUAUAUUCUCAUUUUUCUUCUCUUUAUCCUUCAUGCUGCCUGCAAGAUAGGGAGAAUGUGAACAAUCAGCCGGAGCUCUGAUUGCUUACCUUGUCUGUCACCUCUUUCAGCAGAUCCCCUAGCCCGGCGACUUGGGGGACUCCUACUACAUGGUUUGUAUAGCGCUUGACCAAGCCUGAAACUACAAGUAAGCUUCAAGUGAAAUUGAUACAUUACCUUGUGCAUCUCCACCAGUUACAGAUACCACCCCUGGAUGGAGGAAGAGUACUUCCAGAGAA